rnacentral:rRNA from 1 species
UUCCUACGGGGGGCAGCAGUAGGGAAUCUACCACAAUGGACGAAAGUCUGAUGGAGCAACGCCGCGUGAGUGAAGAAGGGUUUCGGCUCGUAAAGCUCUGUUGGUAGUGAAGAAAGAUAGAGGUAGUAACUGGCCUUUAUUUGACGGUAAUUACUUAGAAAGUCACUGCUAACUACGUGCCAGCAGCCGCGGUAAUACGUAGGUGGCGAGCGUUGGCCGGAUUUAUUGGGCGUAAAGCGAGUGCAGGCGGUU